rnacentral:rRNA from 1 species
CCUACGGGUGGCAGCAGUCGAGAAUCAUUCACAAUGGGGGAAACCCUGAUGGUGCGACGCCGCGUGGGGGAAUGAAGGUCUUCGGAUUGUAAACCCCUGUCAUGUGGGAGCAAAUUAAAAAGAUAGUACCACAAGAGGAAGAGACGGCUAACUCUGUGCCAGCAGCCGCGGUAAUACAGAGGUCUCAAGCGUUGUUCGGAAUCACUGGGCGUAAAGCGUGCGGAGGCUGUUUCGUAAGUCAUGUGUGAAAAGGGCGGGCUCAACCCGCGGACGGCACAUGAUACUGGGAGACUAGAGUGAGGGAGGGGAAAGCGGAAUUCUCGGGGUAGCAGUGAAAUGCGUAGAUAUCAGGAGGAACACUAGUGGCGAAGGCGGGUUCCUGGACAUUAACUGACGCUGAGGCACGAAGGCCAGGGGAGCGAAAAGGAUUAGAUACCCGAGUAGUC